AAACUUACCAGGUCAAGACAUGGGCGUGAUUGACAGGCUAAUGACUUUUCUCGAUUCCAUGGAUGGUGGUGCAUGGUCGCACUUAGUUGGUGCAGUGAUUUGUCAGGUUUAUUCCGGUAACGAACGGGACCUCGGCCUUGUAAAUAGCUAUGCUGCUUACAGGGACAUUGGCGGCUACGCCAAGGAAGCUCGAGGCAAUUGCAGAUCUGGAAUGCCCUUAGAUGUCCUGGGUCGCACGCGUGCUACAAUGACGCCACGAACGAGCUUGCGUGAUGAAAGUUACGCAUAAUCAGCGGUCGGCGUCUUAAGGGAUAGUCUCUUGUAACUGUGGGACUCCAACUAGGAAUGUCUCGUAAGCACAAGUCAACAUCUUGUGUUGAUUACGUCCCUGCUCUUUGUACACACCGCCCGUCGCUCCUACCGAUCGAGUGUUUAGGUGAAUUUGAUGGACGUAAGGAAGUCAAAUAAACCUGAGCACUAGAGAAGAGAAGUCGAGAUCC
rnacentral:rRNA from 1 species